CCCUUAGAUGUUCUGGGCUGCACGCGCGCUACACUGAAGCUAUCAACACGUUUUCCCUCCCUGAGAAGGGCGGGUAACCUUUUGAAUCAGCUUCGUGGUAGGGAUCGGGGCUUGCAAUUGUUCCCCGUGAACCAGGCAUUCCUAGUAGACGCGAGUCAUAAGCUCGCAUCGAUUAAGUCCCUGCCCUUUGUACACACCGCCCGUCGCUACUACCGAUUGAACGUUUUAGUGAGGCAUUUGGACCGACGCAUCUCAGUUUAACCGCUGGUUUGUGUUGGAAAGACUUCCAAACUUGAGCGUUUAGAGGAAGUAAAAGUCGUAACA
rnacentral:rRNA from 1 species